rnacentral:rRNA from 1 species
AUUGAACGCUGGCGGAAUGCUUUACACAUGCAAGUCGAGCGGCAGCGCGGGGCAACCUGGCGGCGAGCGGCGAACGGGUGAGUAAUACAUCGGAACGUACCCUGUCGUGGGGGAUAACCAAUCGAAAGGUUGGCUAAUACCGCAUACGACCUGAGGGUGAAAGCGGGGGACCGGCAAGGCCUCGCGCGAUAGGAGCGGCCGAUGUCGGAUUAGCUAGUUGGUGGGGUAAAGGCCUACCAAGGCGACGAUCCGUAGCUGGUCUGAGAGGAUGAUCAGCCACACUGGGACUGAGACACGGCCCAGACUCCUACGGGAGGCAGCAGUGGGGAAUUUUGGACAAUGGGGGAAACCCUGAUCCAGCCAUUCCGCGUGAGUGAAGAAGGCCUUCGGUUGUAAGACUCUUUCGGUCAGGAACGAAACGGUACGUCGUCUAACAUAGAUGGCUAAUGACGGUACCGUGAAGAAGAAGACACCGGCUAACUACGUGCCAGCAGCCGCGGU